rnacentral:lncRNA from 1 species
UCAUGUACAUUAUUAGUAAACAAACAAAUGAAACAUACGAAAUUAUAACAAUAAUCAAUCAUAUAGAAUUUUGAGAGGCAGUGUAUGGGCUUAAUAGAUUUUCUCUAUUACUUUUAAUUAUUUGAAACCAAAAACCUCUUAAAUUUAUUAGGGCUACGACGACUCUCGAUGAAUUCUCUCUUGAAGAACAAGAUCACUUGGAACGCAGCACCAAGAAGAUUAGGGCUGUAGAUGUAGUGGAAAGUCUUUCUCCUGCACCGCCAUCUCAAUCUUAUAAGGAGACUCUGUUGAAGCCACUAGUUUCCAAUGAUUUAUUUCAAGGAGCUUGCUCGGUGAAGGAGGAUGAUGAUGAUUCAGACUCGGAUAUGGAGGAGCUCUCUGAUGAGUUUGCAAGUAUUUCGGUGGUGGAAGUGGAUAGAGAGUGGAGACAAAAUAUGCGAAAACUGUAACGAAACUCUAUAAUUAUUAAGUUGUUAGAGAAGUUAAUCUCAUACAAGACCCUUACACAAUGGUUAACAUCUAUGUGGAAUCUAGAUGAGGAGUUUGAUUGCAUUGAUUUGGGACAUGGUUUUUAUGUUGUCAAAAUUUCAAGCGUAGAUGAUGGUUUAAAGGCGAUAACGACGGGUACUUGGAAGAUUAUGGAUUAUUAUCUGACGAUACAAAAAUGGAAGUCGAACUUUCACCCGGCUAUCAGAAUGAUUGUAUCCACAGUUGUGUGGACUCAAUUGCCUAGUUUACAAUUGGAAUAUUUCAAUGAAGAAGUACUUGUUAAAGUGGGGAAGAUUGUUGGAAAACCCAUCAAAUUAGAUUCUAAUACGACUUAUACUACUAGGGGAAAUUUGCAAGAAUUUGUGUUGAAAUUGAUUUGUGUAAGCCUUUGAUUCCAUCUAUUAGAAUUGGUAAUUUCAUUCAAAAUAUUGAAUACAAAGGGCUUCAUGAUUUUUUUUUUCUUAUGAUUGUUUUGAACAUCGCACAGAGGCUUGAAUCUUAAAAAAAAAUGGCGACUAACCUUGAAGCGUCAUAGGAGACGAUACAAAAGGUGAAUACAGAAGAGACAGGUGAGAAGACGGACAAAACAGUGACAUGAGGUAAAUUUGGCCCGUGGAUGCUUGUACAACUC